rnacentral:rRNA from 1 species
CCUACGGGUGGCAGCAGUGGGGAAUAUUGGACAAUGGGGGCAACCCUGAUCCAGCCAGGCCGCGGGUGUGAAGAAGGCCCUCGGGUUGUAAAGCACUUUCAGUGAGGAAGAACGCCUGGUGGUUAAUACCCAUCAGGAAAGACAUCACUCACAGAAGAAGCACCGGCUAACUCCGUGCCAGCAGCCGCGGUAAUACGGAGGGUGCGAGCGUUAAUCGGAAUUACUGGGCGUAAAGCGCGCGUAGGUGGCUUGAUAAGCCGGUUGUGAAAGCCCCGGGCUCAACCUGGGAACGGCAUCCGGAACUGUCCAGCUAGAGUGCAGGAGAGGAAGGUAGAAUUCCCGGUGUAGCGGUGAAAUGCGUAGAGAUCGGGAGGAAUACCAGUGGCGAAGGCGGCCUUCUGGACUGACACUGACACUGAGGUGCGAAAGCGUGGGUAGCAAACAGGAUUAGAUACCCCGGUAGUC